UAUUUUUAAAUAAUAGUUUACCCUUUUGCAACCCAGAACUCAUUGCUCAGUAUAAGUUUUGAUACAUAUAAGAAGGAACAUG
rfam:Myotis lucifugus cont2.24451, whole genome shotgun sequence.